GGUGUGACUAUUGAGGGAUGGGAGCAAGAGAGAUAUUCAUUAUCUAACAACACAUCUGGCCAGUUGCAUCGCUGCAUGAGAGGGACAAUUUAGCCUCACAUUAUCUCAGGAAUUUCAACAUUCAACUGGGAAUGCAUGUUAAUUUUUUGUUUCAAGUCACAGAAAUUCUUGAUUUCAGUUCUUGAUUUUUUCCAUUUUUGAGUGAUUGGCCUGUAUAAUUAUCCAUGAUGAUAUUUAGAUAGAAUUCCAGUAUGCAGUGUGUGUGUGUGUGUAUUUACUGUUGGCUAGUUUGCCUAUGGCAUAAGGCACAAGCAGCAUUGUAAGAAGGUGACAAGUUGUGGUCUAUGUGAAUCAUUGGCCAGAUGCGAACACUGAAACUUCACACUUCUGUUUACAGGAAGUAAGAAGAAUUUCCAGUCAUUGUAGCCGAGCGAUAAGUGCCAACAUGUAUGUCACUUUGCCUCCGAUUACCCAAAAUGAUUAAACAUCUCUUUGUUGUCCUGAUACUUGAAGCAUGUGGAUUCACAGAAGGCAAUGAUAGUUUUACCGGUGAAGUGAUUCAUGUGGCUCCAGGUAGUGAUGUGAGUUUGAAGUGUGUGUCCAGUGGGACCAGUGGGACCAGUUCUCCAUCCUGGGACAGAAUCAGUACGAAUGGCAAGGAGCUGCUUUUUGAGAAGACAGCGUAUUUACUGGUGGAGAACUUUCAGCCGGGAGAUAAAGGAACGUAUAGAUGCAGCACAAACAGUGUAACACUGGUGGAGAAGUCUGCAUCCCAAAGUGACACGACACUGCUGUUCAGAAGCAGCGGCGAGCAGAAGGCACAUCUGUUCUGUAAAAUCCUGUCUUACUCUGCAUACAGAGGACAAUGGAGCUGGAAACGUCACAAAAACCAGAAACACAGUCAACCCAUACAAGAGC
rnacentral:lncRNA from 1 species